UCAUCCUCUUUUCCCCAUCCGAGCCUUGAGCUCUUCUUCUUCUCUCUCUCCUGUCAAGUCCGGCCGACGCCGCCAUCGGUCGAUCUCCUCCUCUAUAGUUCCCCUAGCUAAAUCCUUGCACCACUGACUCCCCCUCCCUCCGGCGAAUCCAUUUUUCCCGUUUUCCCCUUCUCCCCCACCCCAUAGCAACCACCACAACUACCUCCUUUGCAGCCGAAGAGAAGCUCUUCUACUUGCCGUUCCGGCCAACUCCUCAUCUCCCUCUGCCGGAAACCAUCCUCCCCAGAUGCGCGUCGUCCGGGAACACAAGUUGCCGCCGACGUCGCCGAUCCCCGGCCACUGGAGCCCCAGCGCCCCUUCUCUCUCUCUCUCUCUCUCUCUCUGUGUUGUUACACGGGAAGAAGGAGAGGAGGAGGAAGAUGACGGGAGGAAGAAGAAGAAAGAAGAGAAAAAGAAAAAUAAAGACUGACAGAGUCGAAUUGAUGUUCUUACCGAAGCUGGGAGUUCAAUCACAUAAGUUAGUUUCAUUCUAACUUAAUUCGCAAAUAUAGAUUAGACAGAUGGUUUAAGUCUAUAGCCAAACAUUAGAGUUAAGUCAUUCUAUAGCUUUUGCUGUAAUAGUUAGCCACAACCUUGUAAAUACCCUAUUAUUUUACAUAAAGAAAUCUCCUUUGGAGCCUUGAUCAAGUGUAUGCGAUGAAGAUCCAGAUUGUUGAACCUGUAUCAAUAUACUGAUCCAGGGCUUGAUACAGUUAAA